GUCGACGACUCUGGUAUUGAUUGGUGCUUGCAUCAUGAUUUACAUUUGAGUGAGUGGCGAACUGGUGAGUAACACGUGGGAAACCUGCCCAGAAGCGGGGGAUAACACCUGGAAACAGAUGCUAAUACCGCAUAACAACUUGGACCGCAUGGUCCGAGUUUGAAAGAUGGCUUCGGCUAUCACUUUUGGAUGGUCCCGCGGCGUAUUAGCUAGAUGGUGGGGUAACGGCUCACCAUGGCAAUGAUACGUAGCCGACCUGAGAGGGUAAUCGGCCACAUUGGGACUGAGACACGGCCCAAACUCCUACGGGAGGCAGCAGUAGGGAAUCUUCCACAAUGGACGAAAGUCUGAUGGAGCAACGCCGCGUGAGUGAAGAAGGGUUUCGGCUCGUAAAACUCUGUUGUUAAAGAAGAACAUAUCUGAGAGUAACUGUUCAGGUAUUGACGGUAUUUAACCAGAAAGCCACGGCUAACUACGUGCCAGCAGCCGCGGUAAUACGUAGGUGGCAAGCGUUGUCCGGAUUUAUUGGGCGUAAAGCGAGCGCAGGCGGUUUUUUAAGUCUGAUGUGAAAGCCUUCGGCUCAACCGAAGAAGUGCAUCGGAAACUGGGAAACUUGAGUGCAGAAGAGGACAGUGGAACUCCAUGUGUAGCGGUGAAAUGCGUAGAUAUAUGGAAGAACACCAGUGGCGAAGGCGGCUGUCUGGUCUGUAACUGACGCUGAGGCUCGAAAGUAUGGGUAGCAAACAGGAUUAGAUACCCUGGUAGUCCAUACCGUAAACGAUGAAUGCUAAGUGUUGGAGGGUUUCCGCCCUUCAGUGCUGCAGCUAACGCAUUAAGCAUUCCGCCUGGGGAGUACGGCCGCAAGGCUGAAACUCAAAGGAAUUGACGGGGGCCCGCACAAGCGGUGGAGCAUGUGGUUUAAUUCGAAGCUACGCGAAGAACCUUACCAGGUCUUGACAUACUAUGCAAAUCUAAGAGAUUAGACGUUCCCUUCGGGGACAUGGAUACAGGUGGUGCAUGGUUGUCGUCAGCUCGUGUCGUGAGAUGUUGGGUUAAGUCCCGCAACGAGCGCAACCCUUAUUAUCAGUUGCCAGCAUUAAGUUGGGCACUCUGGUGAGACUGCCGGUGACAAACCGGAGGAAGGUGGGGAUGACGUCAAAUCAUCAUGCCCCUUAUGACCUGGGCUACACACGUGCUACAAUGGAUGGUACAACGAGUUGCGAACUCGCGAGAGUAAGCUAAUCUCUUAAAGCCAUUCUCAGUUCGGAUUGUAGGCUGCAACUCGCCUACAUGAAGUCGGAAUCGCUAGUAAUCGCGGAUCAGCAUGCCGCGGUGAAUACGUUCCCGGGCCUUGUACACACCGCCCGUCACACCAUGAGAGUUUGUAACACCCAAAGUCGGUGG
rnacentral:rRNA from 2 species